rnacentral:rRNA from 1 species
UGAAUACGAGACGCUAAGGCGUCGAAGUAGUGUAUGUCAUACUUCCAAGAAAAGCUUGCACUGUCAUAGAUAAAAAACGCCUGUACCAUAACCGACACAGGUGGGUAGGUAGAGUAUACUAAGGGGCGCGAGAUAACUCUCUCUAAGGAACUCGGCAAAAUAACUCCGUAACUUCGGGAGAAGGAGUGCCUUAUUCGUAAGGUUGCAAUAACAAGAUCCAAGCAACUGUUUAUCAAAAACACAGGUCUCCGCUAAGUCGUAAGACGAUGUAUGGGGGCUGACGCCUGCCCAGUGCCAGAAGGUUAAAGAAGUUGGUUAGCAAUUGCGAAGCUGAUAACUGAAGCCCUGGUAAACGGCGGCCGUAACUAUAACGGUCCUAAGGUAGCGAAAUUCCUUGUCGGGUAAGUUCCGACCCGCACGAAAGGCGUAAUGAUUUGGAUACUGUCUCGGAGAGGGGCUCGGUGAAAUAGACUUGUCUGUGAAGAUGCGGACUACCUGCACCAGGACAGAAAGACCCUAUGAAGCUUUACUGUAACUUGAAAUUGAAAUUGGACUUUAUUCGCGCAGUAUAGGUGGGAGGCGUUGAUUAUAAUCUUGUGGGAUUAUUGGAGCCAUCAGUGAGAUACCACUCUUGUAAUGUUAGAUUUCUAGCUUUGAAUCAUUAUCUGGUCAAAGAACAGUUUCAGGCGGGCAGUUUGACUGGGGCGGUCGCCUCCUAAACGGUAACGGAGGCGUACAAAGGUUUCCUCUGAACGGUUAGAAAUCGUAUCUAGAGUGUAAAGGCAUAAGGAAGCUUGACUGUGAGACCUACAAGUCGAGCAGGGACGAAAGUCGGUCUUAGUGAUCUGACGGUACUGAGUGGAAAGGCCGUCACUCAACGGAUAAAAGUUACUCUAAGGAUAACAGGCUGAUCUCCCCCAAGAGUUCACAUCGACGGGGAGGUUUGGCACCUCGAUGUCGGCUCAUCGCAUCCUGGGGCGGUAGUACGUCCCAAGGGUUGGGCUGUUCGCCCAUGAAAGCGGUACGCGAGCUGGGUUCAGAACGUCGUGAGACAGUUCGGUCCAUAUCCGGUGUAGGCGUUAGAAUAUUGAGAGGAGCCUUCUUUAGUACGAGAGGACCGAGAAGGACAUACCUCUGGUGUACCAGUUAUCGUGCCAACGGUAAACGCUGGGUAGCUAUGUAUGGAGUGGAUAACCGCUGAAAGCAUCUAAGUGGGAAGCCCACCUCAAGAUAAGUAUUCUCA